GAGUUUGAUCGUGGCUCAGAUUGAACGCUGGCGGCAUGCCUUACACAUGCAAGUCGAACGGCAGCACGGGAGCUUGCUCCUGGUGGCGAGUGGCGAACGGGUGAGUAAUGCAUCGGAACGUAUCCUGGAGUGGGGGAUAACGUAGCGAAAGUUACGCUAAUACCGCAUAUUCUGUGAGCAGGAAAGCGGGGGACCUUCGGGCCUCGCGCUCUUGGAGCGGCCGAUGUCGGAUUAGCUAGUUGGUGAGGUAAAGGCUCACCAAGGCGACGAUCCGUAGCAGGUCUGAGAGGAUGAUCUGCCACACUGGAACUGAGACACGGUCCAGACUCCUACGGGAGGCAGCAGUGGGGAAUUUUGGACAAUGGGGGCAACCCUGAUCCAGCCAUGCCGCGUGAGUGAAGAAGGCCU
rnacentral:rRNA from 55 species